AACUACUUUGCAUUUAUCUUAAGAAGUUCACUAAUGGGCAUAGACAUGGGAAUACCUGAGAGGUGCAGGCAGGCUAGCUCUUGAAACCAGGCUAUGAGGGCAGAAAAGAAUCUUAGAGAUCAUGAAUUUAAACUAUUUUCAUGUUAAAAGAACAAAAACAACAACCAAAAACAAAAACAAAACACAAAAAACCCUCAGAGGCCUAGGUAAGGCUGACUCUCUUCCUUCAACGACCAGUACUCGUCUCAUCUCAUUGAAUACCCUCUCCCCACUGUCAGAACCUCAUCUAGCACAGCUGACACACUUGUGUCUCCCCAGUGAAUGGUUUAGAAAUUCAGAUCUACAGACACUGGAGGCAUGCUCUUCUAUGCUGCACAGCGAGUGCAUCUCUACCAUCCAGUGUUGGAGACACGUAGAACAUUCCCAUAUUCUCAGACAUGUCAGUCCUUCUCUGACUCUUUCCUUCACUGAAAGUCGGUAGCACUGACAUUGUAGGGACUUUCAUACCAGUACUGUGAAAGAUGUUGAACGCUCUCACAAAUUCAGCAGACACACUGGUACCUUCCUGCCUCCACUGCUAUAAACAUUCAGAUUAUUUUCAUUAAGUUCUUUAAAACAUCCCACCCCAGGAUAUCUACAGUACUUGAUGAAAAAAGUCUGAAAGAGUGCUGUCUGCGAUGAUGGAAAUAUCCUAUCAUUCUGAGCUUGCCCAAUACAGUGACCACUACCCACAGGAAGCUGUUGUGCACCUGAUACACGAACACAAAGUCUUUUGAGUGUUAGAUUAUUGAAAUUUGGCAAUGGGGGGGGGGAAAUGUUAAACUGUAAACUAUCUCUUGGCAAAUUAUAAAAUGCUUCUCAUAGCCCAUCCAACUCCUUAAAGCUCCAUACCACCACCACACAAAACUUUCUCUUGCUAUUCUCUAAGACUUGUCAGUUAUUCUUGACCCUAAAAUCCCUAGAUCUUCCAAUAAAUAUGGAAAUUUGCCUUAAUACCAAGAUUUCUGCAAUACUUGUUGAAUGUCAGAAAAUUUCUUCUGGCAGGAAAUUAGAUCAAUCUGGGGCGAGGUCCUGCUGUGCUGUUAGACUUCAGAAGCUUUAGUUUAAUUGCACUACAGAGUGAAUGUGUGUGUGGUGGAGGGUGGUGGUCAGUGGUAGACAGCUCCAAGCUUUAUGCAUUUGAUGUUUCUUUCUAACUAAUCCUUUAACUAAUUCAAUCAUCCAUUCAUUCUACAAAUAUCUAUUGAGUAACUAGCUGCUGGCAAGAUAGCCAUAAACAUGAGAGAAAACUCCCUGCCUUCACAAGACUUCUAUUGUAGUAGUAGAGUUCAACAAUAACAAACAAAUAAGCAACUACAGUAUUUAGAAAAAAUAAAACUGCAUAAAAUAAUGUCGUGUACUAAUAUAGGUUACAAUAAAAAUUAAGCAAGGUAAAGGUGAGUAGGAGACCACACAGGUAUUUUAGAUAGGGAGGUCUCAGGGGCCUCUCUGAGGACGUGACAUUUGGGCACAGACUGGCAUGAAGUGAGGGAACAAGCCAUUCAGUGAUAUAGAGCAAAACUAUCACAGGAGAAUCCAGAGUGAAGGCAAAGUCACAGAGGCUGAAACAUGUUUCCUAUAUCCAGGAGCAACCUGAGAGGAUCCCAUGCCGGGACAGGUGUGACUACAACAGAAUGAGAGCAAGAGAGAGUGACAGCAGAUGAAGUCUGAGAAUUAGCCAACAGCUACCAGAAGGAAGGCCUUAUCUGAAUGAAUGAAGGUCACCAGGGGGAGGAUCACUGGCUCUAAGAAUCUAUCUGCCCUACAGAUUGCACACAUUCUUUCCUUUUUUCUCUCCUGGAAUAUCUGGAUUGUUGAGAUGCUCUAUACCUGACUAGAUAGGUAAAUUCAGUACAGGGGAGAAGCAGCAAAAAGCACAUUCAGACCUAGCACCCAGGCAGUGGACAUUUUUUUUUCCACCAAAAAUAAACUUGACUGACCAACAUAGAAUAGAGUCACUUCUCCCUAUUCCUCUCACUAAUUAUUCUGAAAACUUCUGGACCUUAUGUGUAAAAUAAAUGUAAGAAGACACUGAAAAGGUAAGAGAUAAAGACAGAGCUGCAGGGACCUUUGGACCCAAAGAAUAAGAUGGCAGUAAGUUUCCUGGUUUUCUUUUUGCCACAUUUAUCUCAGACUUAGAGAUGGAGAAGUUGGCAACCUGGAAAUAUCAAUGGGAGCAGACAAAGAGAAAAAACGAAUUCUGUCUAGCUGAAGUACCAGGACAGAGGCAACCUAAUAAGACAGAAAACUUUUAGGUAGUAUCACCUUAUCCCAAACAACAUGGAAAAGUGGCAGCCCUACAAAAACCUCCAUUCUCAAAGUCCAGGUAGGAGCCUAGACUAUACUUAAUAAGAUUAUAAUGAAGCAACCUUUGCCUCCCAAACAAGCCCAGUUGGUAUCAAAAAAUACAAGGUAGGGAACUGGUAAUUUCAUCACAGCCCAGGAGUAAUGAGCCCCAACACCCUAUGGUAUCACUGAAGGCCAUGUGGAGAUCCUGAACUUCCACCUCCUACCCAGUGGCAAUAAAGCAGCUCUCGCCCUUUUUGUAUCAGAGAAGGACAAGUCAGAAGCCUGACCUUUUACCACCAUUCAGUGGGUAACAAGGCUUUUCUCUUCCCUUUUCCUAUUCUGUGAGUAGAGGCCACAUGGAGACCAGAAACAAGAUGUCCCUCUCCUUCCCAGCAAGUGUGAUAUCAGUGGAGGUCUAAUAGGGAUCCUGAAAUCCCACUGCCAC
rnacentral:lncRNA from 10 species